rnacentral:tRNA from 1 species
GGAGAGGUGCCGGAGUGGCCGAACGGGGCAGGUUGCUAACCUGUUGUCUUCCGAAAUGGGGGACCGCGGGUUCGAAUCCCGCCCUCUCCG